GACAGAGGAUGCAAGCGUUAUCCGGAAUGAUUGGGCGUAAAGCGUCUGUAGGUGGCUUUUUAAGUCCGCCGUCAAAUCCCAGGGCUCAACCCUGGACAGGCGGUGGAAACUACCAAGCUGGAGUACGGUAGGGGCAGAGGGAAUUUCCGGUGGAGCGGUGAAAGUGCGUAGAGAUCGGAAAGAACACCAACGGCGAAAGCAGCUCGCUGGGACGGUACUGACGCUAAGGCGCGAAAGCGUGGGGAGCGAACAGG
rnacentral:rRNA from 1 species